UGGGGAAUAUUGCACAAUGGGCGCAAGCCUGAUGCAGCAACGCCGCGUGAACGAUGAAGGUCUUCGGAUCGUAAAGUUCUUUUGCAGGGGAAGAUAAUGACGGUACCCUGUGAGGAAGCCCCGGCUAACUACGUGCCAGCAGCCGCGGUAAUACGUAGGGGGCUAGCGUUAUCCGGAUUUACUGGGCGUAAAGGGUGCGUAGGUGGUCUUUCAAGUCGGUGGUUAAAGGCUACGGCUCAACCGUAGUUAGCCUCCGAAACUGGAAGACUUGAGUGCAGGAGAGGAAAGUGGAAUUCCCAGUGUAGCGGUGAAAUGCGUAGAUAUUGGGAGGAACACCAGUAGCGAAGGCGGCUUUCUGGACUGCAACUGACACUGAGGCACGAAAGCGUGGGUAGCAAACAGG
rnacentral:rRNA from 1 species